AGCGGAUGAAGGGAGCUUGCUCCCUGAUUUAGCGGCGGACGGGUGAGUAAUGCCUAGGAAUCUGCCUGGUAGUGGGGGAUAACGUCCCGAAACGAACGCUAAUACCGCAUACGUCCUACGGGAGAAAGCAGGGGACCUUCGGGCCUUGCGCUAUCAGAUGAGCCUAGGUCGGAUUAGCUAGUUGGUGAGGUAAUGGCUCACCAAGGCGACGAUCCGUAACUGGUCUGAGAGGAUGAUCAGUCACACUGGAACUGAGACACGGUCCAGACUCCUACGGGAGGCAGCAGUGGGGAAUAUUGGACAAUGGGCGAAAGCCUGAUCCAGCCAUGCCGCGUGUGUGAAGAAGGUCUUCGGAUUGUAAAGCACUUUAAGUUGGGAGGAAGGGCAGUAAGCUAAUACCUUGCUGUUUUGACGUUACCGACAGAAUAAGCACCGGCUAACUUCGUGCCAGCAGCCGCGGUAAUACGAAGGGUGCAAGCGUUAAUCGGAAUUACUGGGCGUAAAGCGCGCGUAGGUGGUUCGUUAAGUUGGAUGUGAAAGCCCCGGGCUCAACCUGGGAACUGCAUCCAAAACUGGCGAGCUAGAGUACGGUAGAGGGUGGUGGAAUUUCCUGUGUAGCGGUGAAAUGCGUAGAUAUAGGAAGGAACACCAGUGGCGAAGGCGACCACCCUGGACUGAUACUGACACUGAGGUGCGAAAAGCGUGGGGAGCAAACAGGAUUNAGAUACCCUGGUA
rnacentral:rRNA from 1 species